GCCGCCGCCGCCGGGGGAAGCUCAGCGGGCGGAGAGCGGGGAGGAAAUAUAAUGAAAGGAGGAAUAAUGCACUAAGGGGAAGGAGGCUGAUGGUCGCCCGGAGGCUCCGCACCUACAGAGAGUGAAGUCCUGUUGCAGUGCCGCUGCCUCUACCUACGCUGACUGAGCUUGUCAAUGGAGCUGGAAAAUAUCGUUGCCAACACCGUCUUGCUGAAAGCCAGGGAAGGGGGUGGAGGGAAACGCAAAGGCAAAAGCAAAAAGUGGAAGGAAAUCUUGAAAUUCCCUCACAUCAGCCAAUGUGAAGAUCUCCGAAGAACAAUAGAGAGAGAUUACUGCAGUAUAUGCGAAAAGCAGCCGAUCGGAAGGCUUCUCUUUCGGCAGUUCUGUGAAACUCGACCCGAGCUUGAGUGCUGCAUUAGGUUUCUUGACUCAGUGGCAGAGUAUGAAAUUGCUCCAGAUGAAAAGCUGGGAGAGAAAGGAAAGGAAAUCAUGAUGAAAUACCUCACCCCAGAGGUAAGGGGCAGCCAGAAUGUCAGUCCAGAUCUUAUCCAACAGACAGAGGAAAAACUCGAAAUCAGCCCCUGCAAAGAGCUAUUCGCUCACUGUACAAAAUCUGUCCUUGACCACCUCAGCGGGGAACCAUUCCAAGAAUACCUAAACAGCAUGUACUUCGACAGGUUUCUGCAGUGGAAGUGGUUGGAAAGGCAACCAGUAACGAAAAACACAUUUAGGCAGUACAGGGUACUGGGGAAAGGUGGCUUUGGGGAGGUCUGCGCUUGCCAAGUCCGAGCAACAGGGAAGAUGUAUGCCUGCAAAAGAUUAGAGAAGAAGAGAAUAAAAAAGAGGAAAGGCGAAUCCAUGGCACUAAAUGAAAAGCAGAUUUUAGAAAAAGUCAAUAGUCAGUUUGUAGUCAAUUUAGCCUAUGCCUACGAAACAAAGGAUGCACUGUGUUUAGUUCUGACCAUAAUGAAUGGGGGUGACUUGAAGUUUCAUAUCUACAAUAUGGGAAACCCAGGCUUUGAGGAAGAACGAGCUUUGUUUUAUGCGGCAGAGAUUCUUUGUGGCUUAGAAGACCUACACAGAGAAAAUACUGUAUACAGAGAUUUGAAGCCAGAAAAUAUCCUACUAGAUGAUUAUGGUCAUAUUAGAAUAUCUGAUUUGGGUCUAGCUGUUAAAAUUCCUGAGGGUGAAUCAAUCCGUGGAAGGGUAGGAACAGUAGGGUAUAUGGCCCCAGAAGUGUUGAACAACCAGAGAUACACGCUCAGCCCUGACUACUGGGGGCUAGGCUGUCUCAUUUAUGAAAUGAUUGCUGGGCAAUCACCAUUUCGUGGAAGGAAAGAGAAAGUGAAGAGGGAAGAAGUGGACAGGAGAGUGCUGGAGACGGAAGAAGUGUACUCCCAUAAGUUUUCUGAGGAGGCCAAGUCCAUCUGUAAAAUGCUCCUCACCAAAGAUUUGAAGCAGCGACUGGGAUGUCAAGGGGAAGGUGCAGCAGAAGUGAAGAGACACCCCUUUUUCAAGAGCAUGAAUUUCAAGCGGUUAGAAGCAGGAAUGCUGGAUCCUCCCUUUGUCCCUGAUCCCAGAGCAGUAUAUUGCAAGGAUGUGUUAGACAUCGAGCAGUUCUCCACAGUGAAAGGAGUAAACCUGGACCAAACAGAUGAUGAUUUCUAUUCCAAGUUUUCCACAGGAUCAGUCUCUAUUCCAUGGCAAAAUGAGAUGAUAGAAACAGAGUGUUUCAAAGAACUAAAUGUGUUUGGACCAAAUGGUACUAUUUCACCAGACCUAAAUAAAAGCUACCCCCCAGAGCCACCCAAGAAAGGAUUGCUACAGAGAAUAUUUAAACGACAGCAUCAGAACAAUUCAAAGAGUUCUCCAAAUUCAAAGGCCAGUUUAAAUCACCACAUAAAUUCAAAUCAUGUAAGUUCAAACUCCACUGGAAGCAGCUAG
rnacentral:lncRNA from 1 species